ACCAGGUCAAGACAUGGGCGUGAUUGACAGGCUAAUGACUUUUCUCGAUUCCAUGGAUGGUGGUGCAUGGUCGCACUUAGUUGGUGCAGUGAUUUGUCAGGUUUAUUCCGGUAACGAACGAGACCUCGGCCUUGUAAAUAGCUAUGCUGCUUACAGGGACAUUGGCGGCUACGCCAAGGAAGCUCGAGGCAAUUGCAGAUCUGGAAUGCCCUUAGAUGUCCUGGGUCGCACGCGUGCUACAAUGACGCCACGAACGAGCUUGCGUGAUGAAAGUUACGCAUAAUCAGCAGUCGGCGUCUUAAGGGAUAGUCUCUUGUAACUGUGGGACUCCAACUAGGAAUGUCUCGUAAGCACAAGUCAACAUCUUGUGUUGAUUACGUCCCUGCUCUUUGUACACACCGCCCGUCGCUCCUACCGAUCGAGUGUUUAGGGAAUUUGAGGACGUAAGAAAGUCAAAUAAACCUGAGCACUAGAGAGAGAGUGACAGGGGCCUAGGUGGU
rnacentral:rRNA from 1 species